rnacentral:rRNA from 1 species
CCUACGGGAGGCAGCAGUGGGGAAUAUUGCACAAUGGGGGAAACCCUGAUGCAGCGACGCCGCGUGAGUGAAGAAGUAUCUCGGUAUGUAAAGCUCUAUCAGCAGGGAAGAAAAUGACGGUACCUGACCAAGAAGCCCCGGCUAACUACGUGCCAGCAGCCGCGGUAAUACGUAGGGGGCAAGCGUUAUCCGGAGUUACUGGGUGUAAAGGGAGCGUAGACGGCAGCACAAGUCGGGAGUGAAAUCCCGGGGCUUAACCCCGGAACUGCUUUUGAAACUGUGCGGCUGGAGUGCAGGAGGGGUAAGCGGAAUUCCUCGUGUAGCGGUGAAAUGCGUAGAUAUUAGGAGGAACACCGGUGGCGAAGGCGGCUUACUGGACUGUAACUGACGUUGAGGCUCGAAAGCGUGGGGAGCAAACAGGAUUAGAUACCCUUGUAGUC